rnacentral:rRNA from 1 species
AGAGUUUGAUCCUGGCUCAGGAUGAACGCUAGCUAUAGGCUUAACACAUGCAAGUCGAGGGGCAGCAUGGUCUUAGCUUGCUAAGGCCGAUGGCGACCGGCGCACGGGUGAGUAACGCGUAUCCAACCUGCCUUACACUCUUGGACAGCCUUCUGAAAGGGAGAUUAAUACAAGAUGUUAUCAUGAGUAAGCAUUUUCGCAUGAUUAAAGGUUUACCGGUGUAAGAUGGGGAUGCGUUCCAUUAGAUAGUAGGCGGGGUAACGGCCCACCUAGUCUUCGAUGGAUAGGGGUUCUGAGAGGAAGGUCCCCCACAUUGGAACUGAGACACGGUCCAAACUCCUACGGGAGGCAGCAGUGAGGAAUAUUGGUCAAUGGACGAGAGUCUGAACCAGCCAAGUAGCGUGAAGGAUGAAGGUUCUAUGGAUUGUAAACUUCUUUUAUACGGGAAUAAACGGAUCCACGUGUGGAUUUUUGCAUGUACCGUAUGAAUAAGGAUCGGCUAACUCCGUGCCAGCAGCCGCGGUAAUACGGAGGAUCCGAGCGUUAUCCGGAUUUAUUGGGUUUAAAGGGAGCGUAGAUGGGUUGUUAAGUCAGUUGUGAAAGUUUGCGGCUCAACCGUAAAAUUGCAAUUGAUACUGGCAGUCUUGAGUACAGUUGAGGUAGGCGGAAUUCGUGGUGUAGCGGUGAAAUGCUUAGAUAUCACGAAGAACUCCGAUUGCGAAGGCAGCUUACUAACCUGUAACUGACAUUGAUGCUCGAAAGUGUGGGUAUCAAACAGGAUUAGAUACCCUGGUAGUCCACACGGUAAACGAUGAAUACUCGCUGUAGGCGAUAUACAGUCUGCGGCCAAGCGAAAGCAUUAAGUAUUCCACCUGGGGAGUACGCCGGCAACGGUGAAACUCAAAGGAAUUGACGGGGGCCCGCACAAGCGGAGGAACAUGUGGUUUAAUUCGAUGAUACGCGAGGAACCUUACCCGGGCUUAAAUUGCAACCGAAUAUGGCGGAAACGCUAUAGCUAGCAAUAGCGGUUGUGAAGGUGCUGCAUGGUUGUCGUCAGCUCGUGCCGUGAGGUGUCGGCUUAAGUGCCAUAACGAGCGCAACCCUUGCCGAUAGUUACUAACAGGUUAUGCUGAGGACUCUGACAAGACUGCCAUCGUAAGAUGUGAGGAAGGUGGGGAUGACGUCAAAUCAGCACGGCCCUUACGUCCGGGGCUACACACGUGUUACAAUGGGGGGUACAGAGGGCCGCUACCACGCGAGUGGAUGCCAAUCCCCAAAACCUCUCUCAGUUCGGACUGGAGUCUGCAACCCGACUCCACGAAGCUGGAUUCGCUAGUAAUCGCGCAUCAGCCACGGCGCGGUGAAUACGUUCCCGGGCCUUGUACACACCGCCCGUCAAG